rfam:Delta proteobacterium MLMS-1 ctg890, whole genome shotgun sequence.
UGGUGGAUGAAAUUUCCACCCGUGGCAAUUGCCUGUUCGCCACGAAGUUGCCGAUCCGGCGUGAAGGGGUAACCUACCACGUCAAGCAGGAUCGGAAAAGGCCGAAAGGUCAGAUAGAGUGCAGGCCGUAACGCAA